CGUGUAGGUGGAACUUUAAGUCGGUGGUGAAAGCCUGCAGCUUAACUGCAGAACUGCCCUCGAUACUGAAGUUCUUGAGUGCGGCAGAGGGAGAUGGAAUUCAUGGUGUAGCGGUGAAAUGUGUAGAUAUCAUGAAGAACACCGGUAGCGAAGGCGGUCUCCUGGUCCGUAACUGACACUGAGGCGCGAAAGCGUGGGGAGCAAACAGGAUUAGAUACCCUGGUAGUCCACGCCUUAAACGAUGGGUACUAGGUGCUGGGCCGCAAGGUUCAGUGCCAAAGCUAACGCAUUAAGUACCCCACCUGGGGAUACGAUCGCAAGGUUGAA
rnacentral:rRNA from 1 species